UCAAUAAGCGGAGGAAAAGAAACCAACAGGGAUUGCCUUAGUAGCGGCGAGUGAAGCGGCAAAAGCUCAAAUUUGAAAUCUGGCUCUUUCAGAGUCCGAGUUGUAAUUUGAAGAAGGUAUCUUUGGGUCUGGCUCUUGUCUAUGUUUCUUGGAACAGAACGUCACAGAGGGUGAGAAUCCCGUGCGAUGAGAUGAUCCAGGCCUAUGUAAAGUUCCUUCGAAGAGUCGAGUUGUUUGGGAAUGCAGCUCUAAGUGGGUGGUAAAUUCCAUCUAAAGCUAAAUAUUGGCGAGAGACCGAUAGCGAACAAGUACAGUGAUGGAAAGAUGAAAAGAACUUUGAAAAGAGAGUGAAAAAGUACGUGAAAUUGUUGAAAGGGAAGGGCUUGAGAUCAGACUUGGUAUUUUGUAUGUUACUUCUUCGGGGGUGGCCUCUACAGUUUAUCGGGCCAGCAUCAGUUUGGGCGGUAGGAGAAUUGCGUUGGAAUGUGGCACGGCUUCGGUUGUGUGUUAUAGCCUUCGUCGAUACUGCCAGCCUAGACUGAGGACUGCGGUUUAUACCUAGGAUGUUGGCAUAAUGAUCUUAAGUCGCCC
rnacentral:rRNA from 1 species